AGUGAACGCUGGCGGUAGGCCUAACACAUGCAAGUCGAACGGCAGCACAGUAAGAGCUUGCUCUUACGGGUGGCGAGUGGCGGACGGGUGAGGAAUACAUCGGAAUCUACUUUUUCGUGGGGGAUAACGUAGGGAAACUUACGCUAAUACCGCAUACGACCUACGGGUGAAAGCAGGGGAUCUUCGGACCUUGCGCGAUUGAAUGAGCCGAUGUCGGAUUAGCUAGUUGGGGGGGUAAAGGCCCACCAAGGCGACGAUCCGUAGCUGGUCUGAGAGGAUGGUCAGCCACACUGGAACUGAGACACGGUCCAGACUCCUACGGGAGGCAGCAGUGGGGAAUAUUGGACAAUGGGCGCAAGCCUGAUCCAGCCAUACCGCGUGGGUGAAGAAGGCCUUCGGGUUGUAAAGCCCUUUUGUUGGGAAAGAAAAGCAGCAGGUUAAUACCCCGCUGUUCUGACGGUACCCAAAGAAUAAGCACCGGCUAACUUCGUG
rnacentral:rRNA from 1 species